rnacentral:lncRNA from 1 species
UGACUUUUUAGUAAUAGCCAUUCUGACUGGUGUGAAAUGGUAUCUCAUUGUGGUUUUGAUUUGCAUUUCUCUAAUCUGUGAUAUUGAGCUUUUCUUCAUAUGUUUGUUGGCCACAUGCAUGUCUUCUUUUGAGAAAUGUCUGUUCAUGUCAAAGGCCAAUUGUCAGUGCCCCAGUUCUGCUCAGUAUCUGCCCUCUUUGUUCUCCCGUCUUAGGCACAGGCUGUGAGCAUUGUCUUAGGAUUCAUGGCUCUUGGGGUGGAAUUUGAGUCCUGUGUUGGAGGCUUCAGUAGGACAAAAAAAAUUGUUCCUCAUGAGCUACCUUGUCUCCAGCCAUAAGGUAAAAUGAGGCAUUAUUGGAGGCUCCAUCAAACAGGUUCUCCUUCCUUUGAUUAAUGGAAGGAGCCCAGUCUUUCGGGUGUUUCU